GAUACAUUCCGUGGUGCUGGUCGACCCGCCUCGACACUAGAUGUUGUGGUGGGGAGUGAAAAGGGAAGCCGGUGCGAAUCCGGGACUGCCCCGCAGCGGUGAGAAGGAACGACAUCGGCAUGAGCACUGGGCCCCGGCCUGGGAAGCGCCGACCAGGAAGCCCCCUCGGGGAAGCGCCUUCGAGUCCGAAGACCUGCCAGCACCGGGCCGCGGCC
rnacentral:ncRNA from 2 species